CUCGCAAAACACAAUUUUCUAUGUAACUCAAGGUAGGCUGAUAGCANUNCCUCUCGUCGUUNCUUGCUGUGUCGCGUAUGU
rnacentral:rRNA from 1 species